rnacentral:lncRNA from 1 species
GUUGUCGUUUGUUUAUGUGUUACAUAUUUGUUUUUCGUUCAUUUUUUGUACAUAAAUAAGGCCGCUAGUUUUCUCGUUUGCAUUGUUUUACAUUGUCAUUUCGGGCCUUUUGAAGCUGAGUAUGCGGUAUGGGCUUUACUCUUUGUUGAAGGCCGUACGGUGACCUAUAUAUAUAUAUAGUUGUUAAUAUCUGUGUCAUUUUGGUCUCUUGUGGAGAGUUGUCUUAACAUGGCAAUCAUACCACAUCUUCUUUUUUCAUGUAAUCAAUGAAUUUUGUAAAACAU